UAGAAGCACGUGACUUCAUUGACACCUGUUGAGUGACGUGUCAACUCCUGAACUCCAUGCAGCUGUGAAGAGCUCGAGUUUUGCAUAAGCAACACAUGGACAAUGUUUUUGAAUCAGAGAACUCACCACCAGACAAUUGCCCCCCUGACCUUCUACAAGCGACCUGUUGGAGCAGCUUUCAAGUGUAUACUUAAAUCUUCAUGGGAAUGGCCUCCCUGAUCCAGGAUCAGGUCUCCUUGAGCAAUCAACACCUAGAGGUUAUUUGGGAAGGAUGCUGUGUGGCUGACACCAAUGUCAUUUGAUGCAGCAUUUAACCAACAAUAAAGUGGCAUUGAUGAACAAUGUUUGAGGUGUAUAUUAGUGUUUUAUAGGGUUGUUUUCAAAUCUAAGUGUAGGAAAUUAUCUUGAUGGUUUGUCUUAAUUUUCAGCAGUUCAGUAACUUAGAAAAUAUCCUGCCUCUUUUUUGACAUUAUUUGAAAUGAAAAUUUUGUUGUCGUGUCCAUCCAAAAUACAUAUGAUUUUCUUUUUCUUUUCUUUUUUGUACUUAGGUGGAGAACUUAUGUACUAUUCACAUUGCCAUGCAGUUUAAAUGUAAAAGUUUUAAGUAAAUGAAUACUGGAGAUUAAGAUAAAAGAAAAGAAAAAAGAAAAGGCAGAAAUGUAUCAUAAACGUGGUACAUGUGAUUAUAUUCACAGCCUCAUCUUAUAUUUGCAUUAAGAAACAUUUUUUUUUUCUGAAUAAAAAAUGGGUGAACUAAUUAGUUGACCCUUAUUAAAUAUUUUGACACUAAUAUGCACUGUGAUGGAAAGGGUUGCUAUUAUGAAGAAGCUUCAGAAGCUGCAUUCUGUACAGUUUGUGGGCUCUCUGUAAUUUUCCUUUGUUACCUACAGCAGUAACAUGUAACUGGAAGUAACUAUAAUAAAUGUUUCCCAGAGUUCUCCAGGGUAAGGAAUGGUCUAGCUCAAGCUGGAUUUUUAAA